rnacentral:rRNA from 1 species
AGCCCUCUGCGCUGGUGGCUCGCGGGUUAGAGAUGGUGUCGUCAGCUCGUGCCCUCGGGUGCGGGUCAUACUUCGCUACUCUGCCUGCGGGUAUCUUUCCGGCGCGGGGGGCUGCACUUCUCGCCUAGUAGGACGUCGCGACCCGUUGGGUGCCGUUCCAUGGCCCGUGGUGGAGGCCGUGCCGGAGCGUCGUUUCGGCGGCGUUGCUGUUGCACGGACCCGCGGUGACCUGAACGGCUGCCCGACGGUAGCAAAGCAUUGGGAAGGGACCGCACAGAAGGCUGCGUCCGACGCUCGCUCUCAGAGCUACGCUCGGACAGGUCCGUACCCGGUCAGCGGCGCUUCUGCUUCCGGUACUCGUCCGACCCGUCUUGAAACACGGACCAAGGAGUCUAACAUGUACGCGAGUCAUUGGGCUCUGCGAAACCUAAAGGCGAAAUGAAAGUAAAGGCUAGGCACUUGUGCCAAGCUGAGGGGUGAUGGCCGUCCCUUCUGUGGACGGCCCGCAACCCCGGGGCGUCGCGUUCUCUUUGAGAAGUGGCGCACCCAGAGCGUACACGUUGGGACCCGAAAGAUGGUGAACUAUGCCUGGCCAGGACGAAGUCAGGGGAAACCCUGAUGGAGGUCCGUAGCGAUUCUGACGUGCAAAUCGAUCGUCGGAGCUGGGUAUAGGGGCGAAAGACUAAUCGAACCAUCUAGUAGCUGGUUCCCUCCGAAGUUUCCCUCAGGAUAGCUGGCGCUCGGAGGAAAGAGUUUCAUCCGGUAAAGCGAAUGAUUAGAGGCCUUGGGGCCGAAACGACCUCAACCUAUUCUCAAACUUUAAAUGGGUGAGAACUCCGGCUUGCUUCGGUGAAGCCGCGAGUGUUCUUCACGAAUCAGAGUGCCAAGUGGGCCAAUUUUGGUAAGCAGAACUGGCGC